AGCAGUUCCAAAGCAUCCUCUCUGCUGAGCUUGGCUUGCUUUCAGCAGCCCUUCACUCCAGCACCGAAUUCCUCCUGGGGAAGUGUAAUAUUCAUGAAGGAGGCGCGUUCAUUAGCAAGCCGUCUGCUCCCUGCUUUGGCAUGUGAGUAGGUGGUGUUACCUCUGGAAUCAGGUUGAAAUCCAUUGGUAUUUAGGUGCAUUUGAUUUGCAAGAGCUCGGAGGUCCCUUGAAGAGUUCCUCUAAAGCCUAUUGAGCUACAUACAGCCUUCAUGUUAUGUGUUUUCUCUCUGUAGGUCUGGGGCAUGCAAGGAGAGCUCAUUCCCAAGCAGGCAUCCCCCAGCCAUGUGAAUAGACUGCAGAGAGCUGACCACUGUUGAUCAGAAUGGAUCCUGUCAUUCAUGGACACAUCCUUCCUUGCAUUCGCAAACAGAUCCAUGCUUUUCUCAGACUUUGUCAUGGGAAUUGCUCAGGGGAAGCCAAUUCCCACAUUGCACUUUGUCUUCGGUUAGAAGCUUAACAAAUUCCAGUUAUGCAGCUUUGCUGCUGUCCCCAGCCUGCAGGAAUAUCACUGCCUCUGUUGGAGUUAUAAGCCCAAGGAUUAUGUUUCAUGUUACUGAGCCAUGACAGCAUGGAAAUGAACACAGAGAGAUACAAACACCAUCAAACCCACUUAACUUCAAAUCAGUUCUUGGCUAUUUCUACCACCAACACGGUUCCAGUGCUAGUAGAUGCUCUUCAAAUAUCAGUAAGUUUUGGCAGCUUCUCUUCAGCAAAAGGAGACAGGAUCUUUGGAAUACAGCUUUUUUUUCACCCAGAUCUUUUCAAGAAGUCUCCCCCUUCUGCUCAUUCUAGGAUUAAGAAGCUCUGCAAGAUGCAGAUUUCCCCACUUAGAUGGCUCUCCAGCUGCACCUGAAGCCCAAGGUAGGAAUCUCCUAAUGCAGCUCAGCAACAUUGGGUUCAAUUGAUCACUGGUAAAACAAACCCCAGCCUCAGUAUGCUGUAAGAUAACCC
rnacentral:lncRNA from 14 species